GAUGAACGCUGGCGGCGUGCUUAACACAUGCAAGUCGAACGGAAAGGCCCAAGCUUGCUUGGGUACUCGAGUGGCGAACGGGUGAGUAACACGUGGGUGAUCUGCCCUGCACUUCGGGAUAAGCCUGGGAAACUGGGUCUAAUACCGGAUAGGACGAUGGUUUGGAUGCCAUUGUGGAAAGUUUUUUCGGUGUGGGAUGAGCUCGCGGCCUAUCAGCUUGUUGGUGGGGUAAUGGCCUACCAAUGCGUCGACGGGUAGCCGGCCUGAGAGGGUGUACGGCCACAUUGGGACUGAGAUACGGCCCAGACUCCUACGGGAGGCAGCAGUGGGGAAUAUUGCACAAUGGGCGCAAGCCUGAUGCAGCGACGCCGCGUGGGGGAUGACGGCCUUCGGGUUGUAAACUCCUUUCGCUAGGGACGAAGCGUUUUUGUGACGGUACCUGGAGAAGAAGCACCGGCUAACUACGUG
rnacentral:rRNA from 1 species